GACGAACGCUGGCGGCGUGCUUAACACAUGCAAGUCGAACGAAGUGGCGAACGGGUGAGUAACGCGUAAUCAACCUGCCCUUCAGAGGGGGACAACAGUUGUAAACGACUGCUAAUACCGCAUACUGAAGGAGGGGAUUGCGUCUGAUUAGCUAGUUGGAGGGGUAACGGCCUACCGAGGCUAUGACGCGUAACUGGUCUGAGAGGAUGAUCAGUCACAGUGGAACGGAGACACGGUCCAAACUCCUACGGGAGGCAGCAGUAGGGAAUAUUGCGAAAUGGGGGAAACCCUGACGAAGCAACGCCGCGUGGAGGAUGACACUUUUCGGAGCGUAAACUCCUUUUGUUAGGGAAGCGGUACCUAACGAAUAAGCACCGGCUAACUCCGUGCCAGCAGCCGCGGUAAUUC
rnacentral:rRNA from 1 species